CAGACUCAAGUACUAGAUCUAUGGAGCCCGCCAGAAACUGUCCACUGUUCGGAGGCGCCUUUUCCGCCAUCCUCCCCCGAGGGGCCAUUGAUGUGAGUGACCUCCGACCGGUGCCAGACAACCAAGAAGUUUUCUGCCAUCCUGUGACCGACCAGAGUCUGAUCAUAGAACUUCUGGAGCUGCAGGCCCACGUGCAGGGCGAAGCGGCUGCGCGGUGUCACAGCAGGCCUCUUGGCCCUGAAAAUCUGUCAUGUCCACCUUGGAGCCUGGGUAACUUUGAGCAGCUGGUAACUAGUUUGACUCUUCAUGAUCCCAACCUCUUUGGUCCCCAGUAAAGAUGGUUGAAACACAGCGUGCUGCUGAGGACUCAGGGGCCCAGUUCUGAGAGGGGGAGUUUCUUUCUGCUGCCUCCCUGGAUGUGAACAUAAGACACCUCCUCGGCAGAAAUAAACUUGCUUUAUGAAGAAU
rnacentral:lncRNA from 1 species